rnacentral:rRNA from 13 species
GGCUGCAAAAGAAGUGGGUAGUUUAACCUUCGGGAGGACGCUCACCACUUUGUGGUUCAUGACUGGGGUGAAGUCGUAACAAGGUAGCGCUAGGGGAACCUGGCGCUGGAUCACCUCCUUA